rnacentral:lncRNA from 1 species
AUGACACACUGCUUGGCAACCAUGUUAUCUGGGUUGAAAGAGUAUGUAGAUGCUAGAAGCAGUCACCUGAGCAGUAUUGGAGAUACAAUCAGCGGUGUUCAUUACAAACUUGUCGUCUUGUUCCAUAAAUGUCAAGUGAUUAAAGGGGUCAGGAGGCAGAGACAGAAGGACUCACUGAAAUAUAUGGUCCGUGACAACCUCAGGAGAAGAUCAACAAUCCACGUCAUCACACACUUUCAACUGCAAGGGGUUUUCAGAGAUUUCAUGGAAGAUGUGCACCACGAAAAAUAUAUGUAUAUAUUGCCAAAUAUUUGCACCAAAAGUAGACUUACCUUUUAAUUUCACUUGUCCAAGAGUGUUUUGAAAUUCCUCACACAUUAUACAUCGUUGGCACAAUGGCCUUGUGAGUCAGAUAGAUAUUGUAACAGUGUUGAAGAACAGGAACUGAGAUUCUCACAGAUUAGAAACUUACUUAAAUUCACUCUGGAAAUAAGUGGCAGCCAUUCUAAAUCCAGAUCCAGCGUGUUCUUCACAAAGUAUCAUCCAGCUUCUUCUCCAAGCAGGUACUAAGCGCUUUCUUCGUUGGUUUGCAGCUGUGUCCAUGUAACAGAAAGCUGACUCGUCCAUCCACCAGCGUCUGCAGGCUCAGUGCUGUCAAGCCUUGGGCAUGCGGAUUUUCAGUGACUAAUAUUGUCUCUCGCCGGACUUCAUAAAUAUUGUAACAUUUAAUAUACAGAAUGCAAACAGAGAGUUAGAGGUAGGAGACAUGCUUUGGUUAAAAUAAUAUUAACUAGAGUAGAAAGUGUAACUUUGAUCCAGUUUUAUAGGGAGACACAUAGAUGCUUUGGAAAUAGAAAAAUGAAAAUACUCUGUCAGAGUAUCGUUAGCACAGUCGCAUGCACAUAUUCGUAAAUUAACAAAUUUUUUAGUUACGUCUGGUGGGUAAACUUUAAAGAGCUGAAAUGCAUUUUCCACAUUCUACAACUAAGCAAUGGCUUGUUUGUCUUGGAAACCAGAUAUACAGAGACAGACCCUAGAAAGGAAUCCAGGCUCAAACGCAAUGGGAACACAGCUAACACCUUAGCAGUCUCCUUUCGGGUUUAUCGUGCAUUAUGCUUACCAUGUGUUGACCGAGUAUUUGGGCUACCCCCAACGAUCACCACCUAAACUGUAAAAGAAAACAUUCCCAUUUGCUGCCAUUCAUGUCCACGGGCAGCACCCUUGCCAAAAGCACAUAAAAUGACAAACGUGGUGUUUGGGCCGCUGGGAGGCUGCUCGGGGUGGACGCUCAGUCAGUGUACUCGUCUCUGUUCUAGUGGGGUAGGGGUCCUACCAGGAAGCCCCCUUCUAUCGAAGGGCUCAGGAGCAGUCUCUGCUUCACUAGUGGUGGAGAUCCUAUGAGCAUGGUUAACCGCUUUUCUAGGAAACUAACUGAAUUCCUGGAGUGAGGAGAGAGGAAGGGAAGAGAGUGAGGAAGAGAAGAAGGGCCCUUAAAGCGCUAACCCCCGAGAGUGAAGAGGGGCUCUUCUCUGAGAAAUGCACACUGUCUCCUCCAUGGACUAAUGCACGCUCAGCAACCGUCAGCUGACAAGAGAUGCACCAGCUGGGUGGAGAGCAGUGAGAAGACCAGCACGCACACAGAACGCAGGGAAGUCCAGGGACCUGUGUGAGGCUGCUGAGUCAGUUUCUUCAUCCAACCAACACGGAGGCUAAGGAUAGCAAGACUGCUUGGUGAAAUGGCCUGCGAAAAAGAUGGGGCAACAGAACAAGCAAAACGAAACACCACCACUUUCAUUUCAAGAAAUUACAGAUUAGAAUGAAGAACGUGUCAGCAAACCACAAGGCUACAGUCACGACCGACUUCUACUUGGUACAAUGGUGAUGAGUGGGGGGAAACAAAAUAUGACAGUGAAAUUUCAAGGCCACGUGAUGAGAAGUGACCAGGCAAAGAGGGAGACUCGCUGCAGCGGGAGAUAAGGGAUGUAAUUUGCAGGUGUGUGGAGGGUGCCAGAGCAGUUACGGGUGCUAAGGGUGCGAUAAGAGGCAGAGGCAUAAAUAGGAGGAACCAACGAGGCAAAAUCAACACAAAAAAGCCAAGUUUAUGCUCAGUUUAAUUUCUACACAAUGCACCAUAUGGGAGAAAGCAUGUGUUCCUUUUGUUAUCCAGUGGUGAGGAGACAUGGAAUAAUAAACAAAAACACAGUUCUCA